rnacentral:rRNA from 1 species
AACGCUAGCUACAGGCUUAACACAUGCAAGUCGAGGGGCAUCACGGGAGUAGCAAUACAACUGGUGGCGACCGGCGCACGGGUGAGUAACGCGUAUCCAACCUGCCCAUCACUUGGGAAUAACCUUGCGAAAGUAAGACUAAUGCCCAAUGACAUUUAUAGAAGGCAUCUGAAAUGAAUUAAAGAUUUAUCGGUGAUGGAUGGGGAUGCGUCUGAUUAGCUUGUUGGCGGGGUAACGGCCCACCAAGGCGACGAUCAGUAGGGGUUCUGAGAGGAAGGUCCCCCACAUUGGAACUGAGACACGGUCCAAACUCCUACGGGAGGCAGCAGUGAGGAAUAUUGGUCAAUGGGCGAGAGCCUGAACCAGCCAAGUAGCGUGCAGGAAGACGGCCCUAUGGGUUGUAAACUGCUUUUAUAGGGGAAUAAAGUGAGCCACGUGUGGUUUUUUGCAUGUACCCUAUGAAUAAGGACCGGCUAAUUCCGUGCCAGCAGCCGCGGUAAUACGGAAGGUCCGGGCGUUAUCCGGAUUUAUUGGGUUUAAAGGGAGCGUAGGCCGGAGAUUAAGCGUGUUGUGAAAUGUAGAUGCUCAACAUCUGCACUGCAGCGCGAACUGGUUUCCUUGAGUACGCAUAAAGUGGGCGGAAUUCGUGGUGUAGCGGUGAAAUGCUUAGAUAUCACGAAGAACUCCGAUUG